CGGAGAAUGAUUCAAGCGCUUGUGGCACUUCUUGAGAAUUGAACAACGCUGAAAACUCCCUAAAUACAUCGUGAAGAAAUACAACAAAAGGGACAACGUUUUCGAGAGACAAAAGAUGCCGAUAGGGAGUGUCACCUUUGGUUCAGUAUGUAGUCUGUGUUCCCGCCAAACUUGUCCCGGUAAAAUAGACACGGUCACUCUUGUAUAUAUCUUUGGCAGGUUAGUCAAUUUAUGAAUUCCUAUAAACACAAGUUUUAACCGGUGUGUCGAAAGCACUGAUGGAUGUCACUUAAAAUGUAUUCAAUAUACACUGCUAUUGAGCUAGUAUCCUUUCUAAAAGUGCAUCUCAAUUCGAGUAACACGGUUGGAAGAAUUGUAACCCAAUUGCCUUUUUAUGGUACAUUAUUGACGCUAUCUGUAUUAUCUUUCUACUACACCAUUUGAAUGAUAUGCUGUGAAGUGACAAAAACAGUAAAUAUCUAGUUAUCAGAAAUAUAGAAAAUACCAUUUUCCGUCGCCAGUGGAAUUUUGAGAAAAAGUAAUAUUUUUUCAUAAUUUUCUUCGCAGAUUAUUUUCAGAACUCGAAUCUAUUUCGGUAUAGAGCCCGAUUUUGCUAAAAUAAUCCGUGGCAAAUUUUCUUCUAUUUAAAACUUUAGUUUCUUGUUCGUGAAAUUUUAAGAAUAAAAUAAUAAGCUCGUGCUCUGUAUCGACAUAAAUUAACGUUCAUGGCGAAUUUCAUGGAAUUUCAAAGAAAUCAUGGAGAAAUAUUACUUUUUCGCAAUAUGCCAAUAGCAAGGAGACUUCAGUACAGGACGCUGUAUCCCGAACUACUGAUAGUAACGCGAUUAACGUCCUUGAAGGAAAAACAUAUGCAAGUUUCUACGCCUUCUUGUAACAGUCCCUUGGGAAACAAUGUUUGUCACUGUGAAGAGAAAAAGAAAGAUGAAUCGAAGGAAUCCGAUUGUGUUACGAACACCAGUUUAGGGUAAAACGUUCAAAGCACAACAUUAAAGAGAAUGAAAGAAUCAUUCAAGUUAUUUUUGCAUAAUAAUCUUUUACGCGUUUUCGCUUGUUUAUCCAUGGUUAUUAUAGUAGGAAGUUACUUAAAAGUGACAAAAAAAUAUUGUAGUGAAAAGUGGUAAUGAAAAGUGUUAGCGAAGCAAAGUUCACUCAUCCGGCUGUGACAUCAGCUGUUAUAUAAUGAGUACCUGUUUUACGGUAGGUUAAGACCAGCGAAACAAUCCAGUCACGAAGAUAUAUUUUCACCGGAGGUAGAAUUUUUUAAACAGUAGAUUUGUUUUCGAAGAGAGUCAGCCCUUUUCAUGCGAUAAUCUGUGACGUUUUUAACAAUUGAACAAUAUCAGAUGUUUAUUGUUUCAUCGGUAGCCAGGGAAGGUCCAGCAAACAGAUAUAAAUCCGCCGCGGUACCUGUCGUUGCUAUACGGAGCAUGGGUUUCUAUGGCCAAUGAAACUUUUAGCCGAAGGAUUUGGUAUUUCUGAAAAGCUGAUUUUGGUAGUCCUGUAAAGAGCUGAGAAUUUGAACAGUGUGCUGCUGUUGUUUCUUGGUUUUUUAUACGUUGCUAAAGUGGAACUGGGAAAUUUCAGAAAUUUGUAUUGGUCGUCGUAAUCCGAACAAGGGUAAGUAAGUAAAUUAUUCCAAAAUAUACUGUUGCAGGAAAGUAAGUAUAAAUAAGUAUAUGGUAAGUGUAUUAUUGUUUCCCUUUUUGAACAUUUGUAAAAUUUAUUUUUUAUAAGUAUGAAUGUUAAUCCUAUUAAUGUUAUAAACAUUUUAAUGAAAAUAUUUAUCUGUAAUAAGCAGGAAGAACACAUAAAUCGAAACAUUAUAUACAUAUUUCCAUACUUGAGAAGCAGAUGAAAAGGAAGGGUACUAA
rnacentral:misc_RNA from 1 species